rnacentral:lncRNA from 1 species
UGUGGACGUCCGGAUACCUGUCGGGUUCGGAUCGGAUAUUUCAGAUUUUUGGGUAUUUCGGUAUAGGGGUAUAGAACCCGUUCGGGUAUUUCUAUAUUUUGGGUUGGGUUCGGGUAUUUUUAAUUCGAGUUCGGUUAUUUCGGGUUGGGUUCGGAUAUUAAGAUUUUGAAAGAAAAUAAUUAAAUUUUCAUUUUUAGAUUUAUUCUAUUUAAAAAUAUAGAUUUCACUUAACAGUUUUUUUUAUUUUUUUAAUAGAUUGAAUGAUUGAUAGAUUUGGAGAUAACAUUUCAAAAAUAAAUAAACAUUAAUUUGGCUAUUGUUUUGAAAUUUCAAAUGUAACUUUUGUUAAUAUAUGAAACAAAAAAAUUUGACAUGCAUUUUAAUUGAGUGACAAAUCAUUUUUCCGUAAUUAUAUGUAUAUUAUAUGAUCAUAA